rnacentral:rRNA from 1 species
AGUGAACGCUGGCGGUAGACCUAACACAUGCAAGUCGAACGGCAGCACAGUAAGAGCUUGCUCUUACGGGUGGCGAGUGGCGGACGGGUGAGGAAUACAUCGGAAUCUACUUUUUCGUGGGGGAUAACGUAGGGAAACUUACGCUAAUACCGCAUACGACCUACGGGUGAAAGCAGGGGAUCCUCGGACCUUGCGCGAUUGAAUGAGCCGAUGUCGGAUUAGCUAGUUGGCGGGGUAAAGGCCCACCAAGGCGACGAUCCGUAGCUGGUCUGAGAGGAUGAUCAGCCACACUGGAACUGAGACACGGUCCAGACUCCUACGGGAGGCAGCAGUGGGGAAUAUUGGACAAUGGGCGCAAGCCUGAUCCAGCCAUACCGCGUGGGUGAAGAGGGUCUUCGGGUUGUAAAGCCCUUUUGUUGGGAAAGAAAAGCAGCAGGUUAAUACCCCGCUGUUCUGACGGUACCCAAAGAAUAAGCACCGGCUAACUUCGUG